rnacentral:rRNA from 1 species
AUCGGUGACAGGUGGUGCAUGGUUGUCGUCAGCUCGUGUCGUGAGAUGUUGGGUUAAGUCCCGCAACGAGCGCAACCCCUAUCUUUAGUAGCCAGCAUUUAAGGUGGGCACUCUAGAGAGACUGCCAGGGAUAACCUGGAGGAAGGUGGGGAUGACGUCAAAUCAUCAUGCCCCUUAUGACCAGGGCUACACACGUGCUACAAUGGCGUAAACAAAGGGAAGCAAAGCUGUGAGGCCGAGCAAAUCCCAAAAAUAACGUCUCAGUUCGGAUUGUAGUCUGCAACUCGACUACAUGAAGCUGGAAUCGCUAGUAAUCGCGAAUCAGAAUGUCGCGGUGAAUACGUUCCCGGGUCUUGUACACACCGA